rnacentral:lncRNA from 1 species
GACUUCAUGUGUUAUAGUAGUCUAAGCCUGUAUUAUGCACUUUAGGAGUAUUGACCGGGGUAGUAAAUACCACUGGUAAAUCUUGUGCAUUGGACCUAGUGCAACUCAAUAAUUAUACAUAAGUGUAUUAAUUAUGUCUCGAGUUUAUUUGAAAAAAAUUGGAUCAAUAGGGUCAUUGACCAGAAAUUUGAUUACGCGUGUAUUUCAGAUUAGCUCUUGACGAUUUUAAUCCUCAAGAUCAUUUUUUCAAAAUUCAAAAUAAAACCAAGACCAUCCC